AAAAGCCAAUCGAUCUCCACGUUCGGAU
rnacentral:sRNA from 1 species